ACUCCUACGGGAGGCAGCAGUGGGGAAUAUUGCACAAUGGGCGCAAGCCUGAUGCAGCCAUGCCGCGUGUGUGAAGAAGGCCUUCGGGUUGUAAAGCACUUUCAGUCGUGAGGAAGGUGGUAGUGUUAAUAGCACUAUCAUUUGACGUUAGCGACAGAAGAAGCACCGGCUAACUCCGUGCCAGCAGCCGCGGUAAUACGGAGGGGUGCAAGCGUUAAUCGGAAUUACUGGGGCGUAAAGCGCAUGCAGGUGGUUUGUUAAGUCAGAUGUGAAAGCCCGGGGCUCAACCUCGGAAUAGCAUUUGAAACUGGCAGACUAGAGUACUGUAGAGGGGGUAGAAGUUUCAGGUGUAGCGGUGAAAUGCGUAGAGAUCUGAUGGAAUACCGGUGGCGAAGGCGGCCCCCUGGACAGAUACUGACAU
rnacentral:rRNA from 1 species